CCUACGGGGGGCUGCAGUCGAGGAUCUUCGGCAAUGGGCGCAAGCCUGACCGAGCGACGCCGCGUGAGGGAUGAAGGCCUUCGGGUUGUAAACCUCUGUCGAGGCGGAGGAAAUCUAUCGGGGUUCUCCCCGGUAGUUGACCUAUGCCUGGAGGAAGCUUGGGCUAAGUUCGUGCCAGCAGCCGCGGUAAGACGAACCAAGCAAACGUUGUUCGGAUUCACUGGGCUUAAAGGGCGCGUAGGCGGUCGAUCAAGUCCGGAGUGAAAUCUUUCGGCUCAACCGGAAAAGUGCUUUGGAUACUGAUCGGCUCGAAGGGGGUAGGGGCAGCGGGAACUUCCAGUGGAGCGGUGAAAUGCGUUGAUAUUGGAAGGAACGCCGGUGGCGAAAGCGCGCUGCUGGACCCCUCUUGACGCUGAGGCGCGAAAGCCAGGGUAGCGAAC
rnacentral:rRNA from 1 species